rnacentral:rRNA from 1 species
GGACUACCGGGGUUUCUAAUCCUGUUUGCUCCCCACGCUUUCGCGUCUCAGCGUCAGUUACCGUCCAGAUGGCCGCCUUCGCCACCGGUGUUCCUCCCCAUAUCUACGAAUUUCACCUCUACUUGGGGAAUUCCGCCAUCCUCUCCGGCACUCAAGCCCAUCAGUUUCGGGUGCACUUCCUCAGUUGAGCUGAGGGAUUUCACGCCCGACUUGAUAGGCCGCCUACACGCGCUUUACGCCCAAUAAUUCCGAACAACGCUUGCACCCUCUGUAUUACCGCGGCUGCUGGCAC